GAUGAACGCUGGCGGCGUGCCUAAUACAUGCAAGUCGAGCGAACCACUUCGGUGGUGAGCGGCGAACGGGUGAGUAACACGUAGGUGAUCUGCCCAUCAGACGGGGACAACGAUUGGAAACGAUCGCUAAUACCGGAUAGGACGAAAGUUUAAAGGUGCUUCUGGCACCGCUGAUGGAUGAGCCUGCGGCGCAUUAGCUAGUUGGUAGAGUAAAGGCCUACCAAGGCGACGAUGCGUAGCCGACCUGAGAGGGUGAACGGCCACACUGGGACUGAGACACGGCCCAGACUCCUACGGGAGGCAGCAGUAGGGAUUCUUCGGCAAUGGGCGAAAGCCUGACCGAGCAACGCCGCGUGAAUGAUGAAGGCCUUCGGGUUGUAAAAUUCUGUUAUAAGGGAAGAACGACUUUAGUAGGAAAUGGCUAGAGUGUGACGGUACCUUAUGAGAAAGCCACGGCUAACUACGUGCCAGCAGCCGCCGUAA
rnacentral:rRNA from 1 species